AUUUUUGAGAGUGGUCGGUCUACGCUCGUUUGAUUAUUCUUGAUGUUUUCUCAUGUUUUUCCUUCUCUCCCCUUGUGUGUUGUUUUUUUUUUUUCGUUUCUGUACCUCUGAGUUUGCCUCCCCGAACUUUGUUAUUUCCCUU
rnacentral:ribozyme from 1 species